AACACAGACCCGGUUCUACAAAUGGCGACCAGUCAUGCACAGAUAGAGAGUGGUCCCGUGAAGGAUCUCGAAAAGGAGAUCCUUGGUUUGGCCAAGAGAGCAUUCAGACCAUUAAAACAUCUUCAGCAGUUUGAGUCCAUAGAUGACAUAUGCCCCGCCCAUUUUUUCCAAUUGUUUGAGGUCGUUUCGGGUGAAACAGUUCCAGGAUGGAAGGAGACCAAAAACAGACGACAGGAAGCCAACAUGUGCCAGUUCCUGAUCAACACACUGGAGGACGACGUGUUCGGGCUCCCUCUGGACCACAUCACCGGGGAAGCCAUAGCGGAGGGAGACCCCCGGAGUCUGAAGGACCUCCUAGAGAUCUUCUGUGAAAUCUCCGAGGAGUUCGGUAGACGGUCACCGCUUGCUGACAUAUCAAAUUUGAGAUCGCCUGAAGCCAAGAACCGAGAUCUAAAAAGUGCUGGAGAUAUAACGGCGGAUCAAGGAUUUAUUCCACCCGAAAUCAGGAAGCUUCUGGCUAGAAUCAACAAUGAUGCGGAGACGAUUGCUCAGUACAGCCAGAGCUGUGGUCUCCUGGACGCCUUCCAGUCCAGUAAUCGGAUCAAGGAAAUCUUUACCCAGACGACACCAGUUCCUAUGACGUCAGCUGUAACAAGCCCAAUUACAUGGGAUUUCAUUCUAAAGAAGAGGAAACUUCAAGAUGCAGAAAAAUCAAAAUCGAAACCAUUAAUGAGCAACAUUCAGCCAGUGACGAGAAAAGUCAUUCCCAAGGCAAAGACUGCAGUCCCUACAUCCAAACCAAAAGGUCUGCAGAAGUCACUGGGACCAAAGAAAGCGGUCAAACCGAAGCCGGUCCUGGGUUCGAAACUCCGACGAAACAGUUCCUCCCUUGUGACGAAAUCCUGUCAGAGUCCAAUAUCCAAGAAAGCUUCGGCAAUACACAGAGAAGAUGACACAGUGAAUCUGUUGAAGUUAUUGGAACACACGGAGCGAGUUGUCUCACGGCGGAGGGAGAUAGCGCGCGAAAUUAAGAGGCUACAAACCGAAGAAAAUAUUCUGAAAACUACGGAGUCCAUAUUGAAGAAGGAGCUACAGUUUCUGCAGUCCAAGCCCUUGAUCCGGCCAAGUCACAGGCUGGCGGCGAGGAACUGAGGGUUUGGUUCUCCGUGACACGUGGGGGGGGGGGGGGGGGGGGGGCACACUGCUGACUUGUUAUAUCUCUUAUGGUUGCAGAAGUCUAUCAAUGUACGAGUCAUUAUGAUGUAUAUAUUUUUGAUAGUGUAAAUGUAAUAAAGCAUUAGGUAUGAGCGGUGUCUGUCCGUGUUUUCUAUUGUUUACAUUCCAGUUUAACUGGUCCAGUAAAAAGUGGAAAAGAUGACCAUUUUUUUGGUAAACGUCCCUGAUAAAGUCAUGGAACAAUGCUGUUGUGACUUAAAUAUUUAUUGAUACAUGUAUAUUCAAACAAUGGUAUUUCAGUGGUGAUAUCAAGAAGAGGUGACCGGAACACAUGUUACUAGAUACAAUGGUCGACACACCUCACUUUCCCUGGUGCUUAUAUAUAUAUGAUAUGGGUCUAAUCUUGGCUCACAAGCAGCUGAACGGAAAAUGUACUCGAUGUGAUGAACAAUAAAUCAGAAUCUUAUC
rnacentral:misc_RNA from 1 species